rnacentral:lncRNA from 1 species
CGCGUGCAAUCAAUUAAACGGAGCUGUCGUAAAUUGACCGCCUUUGCUACACCUUUUCCGUUUCUUUUUGCAAUGUGGAGUUUAAAUGCACAACCUUUAAUUUGUUGAAAAUUGCAUGCUAAUCAAAGACCUGUAGUUUACUAGAUUCUUAUACUACACAUACUCCUCCCGUAAAAAACUAAGUUAGUACUGGAUGUGACACUAUCUAAAUUCAUUAAUAGCAUAAUGUAUCCUAUAUAAUCUUAAUAUUUGUUUUUUUUGGAACGGAGAGAGGACGUUGUUACUAGUAGCUCAAAACUAUCAAAUCAUUUGCAUCUUUAAUUUGACAAACUCCCGUUAGGAAUCAGUACUCCUGGCUCCACCUCCACCUAUUCCAUUGUCAAAUCAACUGUCAUCUAGCACUAGCACGCGAUACAGCAGAAUUUUACUCCACUGUAUGUAAAAAUCGAGUUUUCUGAAGUAGUGAAGAGCAAAGUGAAUCUACGUAAUCAAGUAGGUGUAUCAGAUAAUGUGAUUAUGUUUGUACUGUUAGUGAUAUAUUCAGUGGCUAGAACUUUCAAGGAAUCAAAAUAUUCGACCGAACCACCACCCUUUUUGGGUAGCCGAAUGUCGGCACUGCCAAAAUUAAAGCAGCACGGCAAGAAAAUGUCUGAUCAAAUUUCUCAUGUAUACUUGUUUCACACGGCGAGAUUUGACUGUACUGACAAUGUCUCAAACAUCCGGCAGGGUUGUCCGGCGGCAUGCCGGCCAACGCACCGUCAACGGCGGCCACCGGCAGCAGCGGCGGCGGCGGUCCGGCGACGCACCGACCCACAAGACGCCACCUGAUUCUUCUUCUGCUGCUCCUGGUGUUCCCCGCUUCGCUGCUGCUCCUGUAAAACUACCCCGUCACACCGGCAAGCAGCACACAUCUGACCUGUACAUGCAUGUACACCGUUCGUCGAUUCAAUUCCUCUCAGAAUUCUUCCGUGACAUUGCCCACGGCUUAGAUCGCGUCAUCGCCGCGAGCAGCGUCCGCCAUGCCCGAUGCCACCCUCGUCCGGUGGGUGGCGCGUGAUGGCGACGCCCGAGCGAGCUAGCGGAGCCGAGCCGAGCAGCUUCGGCGCGGGGGAGCAACCGACCGGGGCAGCAAGACGCGUGACAUGGUUAACGCCGCCUCGGCUAGCAGGCUAGGUGGUUGGUGCAUCGCGCGCGCGCGGGCACGGGCGGCAUGUGAGCCUGCGAGCUGUGGCCGCUGCUGCUACUCUGCUCGCUGUGUGGAUCGCCAGCGAUCGGUUGCUGCGGUGCGCGUGUGCCAUGCCAUCGGCAGCCAGCGAUGCGUGUACAAUACACACACGGCCUCGCGGGGAACAGCGUGGUACGGGGGCAAGGGGGCCUUGCGUGCACGCCGUCGAUCGUGUAUUCGUGUGAGUAUGUGACCUGGUUUUGUGCGUUUCGGCCGUGCCUGCGUUGCCUGGCUGGCUCAGGUACGGUGGGGCUGCGCCGGCGGCUGGUGGACCGUCGUUGUCGACGCGAGGUGGCCAACAGGGCGACCGUUUGGUUGGUCUCUCCAGUUUUGUCUGCUUCUUCUCCUACCUGCCAGGAAACUAGUACAGUAUCCAAUAUGGAUAGUUGUCAAAAAAAAGGAAAAUCCAAUAUGAAUGGGCUGGGUUAAGAUAGCGCUGGCAGCGCCGAUAGGCCUGGGAAAAGGGAAGGAAGGCCCAACUUAACAAGCUGAUCCUCUGAGCCCAUGUAGUGAAGUACAACAAAUAAAUAAGUUCAAUUUACUUCCCUCAAUUUGUCACCAAGUCAGAUGUUCGUCCCUAAACCGAAAUACCAGAAACAACGUGUUCCUCAACUCUCAAAACUAUUGUGGAUAAGGCCACAAGGCGAUCUGGAUGGUGGUUUCAGCUGACAUGGCGCCUACGUGGAUGGUUUGACUUUGGUCAUCGUCCCACAUGGCGUUGACUCCUCAUUGAUAGCGAAGGAAGGAUGAGAUAGAGAGUGCCACGUGAGAUAAGGAUCAAGUCAAACCAUCCACGUAGGUACCACCAUAGGACAUUAUUUGCAGUGGUAUUGAGAGGCAAGGGAGGGAGGUGUUGUAUAUGGUAUUUCGGUUUAUGGACGAAUUUCAUACUUCGUGAUAUAUUAAGACCCAAAGUGAACUUAUUCCUAUAGCAAAGGGGUCGAGAUUCUGUGGCCGUGUUCUGCGUAUUGGACCCUUUCCUGAGACAGCCAUUAUAGAUCGUUGGAAAAAGUCCACCUUACAGUUAUGGGUCAAGUUUUAAUUCAUGUCAUCCAACCGCAAUACUAGGUAUAGAGCAUCUCUCAACUAUCAAAACCAGUAUGAAUCGAGUCUCUUAGUCGUUUUUUUGAUGGUUUGGCUGACGUGGAAUCCUAAUCAGCAUGAAAAAAAUUAAAAAUAUAUAGGACCCAUAUAUCAGAGGGACCCAUCUCUACUCCUCCAUUCUCUCUCUCUCUCUCACUCUCCCUCUGUGUGUGUGUGUGUGGACCUAUGGACGCACGGCGGAGGAGUGCAGCAACGGGUGGAGGCCUUCUACUAGCUAGGCAGAGGAGCUCGAUGUUGGCCGCCGCGUCGCUCGCCCUCUCUCAAGGCCUGCCGCAGGAGCUACGACAACAAGAGCUCCGUCCUGAUCAUCCACCCCGCGUUGUUGCAUCAAGUGGAAGGAUGCCAUGUACAACGUCGACCGCAACCUCAGCGGUCGCAUGUACCUGUCGGUAGCGAUGGAGAAAGGGAACAUGGCUACCCAAGGAGGUUUUGCCCUGGUGAGCGCCAUUGCAUCCCCAUCGACAACGGGCCGGAGCUCGAGCCCCCAGCGCCUCGCCCCACUGCCAGAUUUGCUCUCCCCAACCAUGCUCGCUCCUCCAGCGACUAUGCCGCCAAAUCCACCCAUCUCCAUGCGCGUGGGCCUCCGCUGGAGCUGGCUGACACUGGAGCUCAAGCCCCCAAUGCCUUGCCCUCCACCAGAACACCGCUCCCCCAACCUCCCCCCACCUGCCGCUCUAGCACCAUCAACCGCCGCCUUCUCAAUUUCCUCGACCCACACGUCCCACCGGAGAGGAAGGCGGAAAGGGAGCUUGACGCCGACACCAGGGUGGAGAGGGAUUAAGGAGGAGCGGAGGCCGGCAGCCACACUGGAUGCUAGUAUUGACAACGAAACGGUUGGGAUGGCCGACUAUUGCUGUCAUCUGGGUGCCCACUUCUCUCUGCCGUCGGCGCCGCUAUCUUGGCCGACCAACUGAGGCCGUCAAGGGGAGGGGUCAACCAGAGAGAGGAUAGAGAGGACGAUGGAGAGAGAAAAUAAAGAGGAAAGAAAGAAGGAAUGGUUGGGAUGACAUGUGGGCUUAGGGUUUCUAUAUUAUUUUCCUUUGUGCCUAGCAUGUGGGACUAUUUUUAUUUAUAUUUUCUGAUUCUUAUAUCACGUAGAUGCCACGUUAGAUGAAGAUCAAGUCAAUAGUGUCAUGUGGUAUCACGUCAGCCAAUACCGUUGUCCAAACCACCUUGGGACUAUAUUUACACCUGUUUUAAGAGAUGAAGAAUGUGUUAUACCCAGUGAGGGAUCUAAAGUGAACUUUUUCAUAGGCCGUUUAGCAUUUAGGUGGUUUAGUCGCAAGGCCCAAACUCGUGGGGAUUAAUUAUUUCUCUUUACGGACGGCUCCAGUUCCACAACGCAUCCCCGUGGAUGGAAUCUCUGAACCUAAUGCCUCUUCAUUGUGAUAUUUUUUUGACGUACACCCUUGUGAAAUUUAUGCGCCGGUUUAACUCGAUGUUCAGAUCAUUAUCUCUCAUGGAUGUGUACAGGAACCUAGUGAAAGUGUGGGGACUACUAUGCCACACAAGUAUUCUGACAAGAUACGGGUAGCGGAGCAGAUGAAAGGUGGAACUUUAGAGUCCGGUUUAAUUACUUCGAUCACGAGAUCAGGGUAAAUUUACUCAGCAAAGAUGCAGAGAUGGUCGAACACGAGAUCUCUACUAGAUCGUCCGCGACGGAAACCAACGCUAGGAGUAGUAUUUCUCUGAAGUCCUGAACAGUGAACAUGGACAGGUAGGCGCGACCGAGACACGGAAUCCGAAUCCCUACGCGUGCGGGCUACCUUACCUCUCGAAGAUGGAACAGUGAAAUCUACUCAGGAUCUCGGCUACACGUGUAACGAUCCCCUCAGGCGCAGCCGCUGCCCGAGCGGGAGGGAGCACGGCGCCUGCCAAUUGGCCAUUGACAAAUCAUCGCUCGCGCGCGCCGGGCUUCGCUUUGCCCGCUCCGUGUGACUCGCUGCUGUCUCUGCCAGUGGCAGGCAGUUGUUCAGUGAACCUGUCCAUGUAUUGGCUUGCCGCCAUGGCCGGCGCGCGCGCUCUCCGGAGUUCAAUUGGGCAGGAAGACGGCAAGCGGCAUGUGGUUUUUUAUCUCGACUCGAGAGGGGGCAGUGGAUAACAAAGAGAAAUCCCUUCUGGGGCGUCGCGUCGCGCAGGAUCAGGUCCCUCAAUUGCCGGCAACUCAUCUUCAAGCCAUGGCAAUCCAUUGUUUUAUCGAUAUAAUAGUACUCAUUCAGCUUAAUUACCUCGAGUUCUGAAUGUUUCAAGAGGAGGUGUCUCGAGUAUUCAGUCAGGACAGUGAUAGAGGUAGAUUAAUCCCUGGUGUUGCCACAUGUGUAGUAAACUCUACCAUUCGCAAAUCAAGAAAUACUGUGCAGUUUCCGACAGUGUUCCUGCAAAUCAAGAGUAGCGUGUGUAUUAGGAGCAUGAUUGUACUAUAUUCAUAAGUGACCCUUCAAGCGCCCUAAUGGCUCACCUAAAUGAUUACCCCCUUGCUAAUUUCAAAAGGACCAAUGCUUCGUUUGGUGAAUCAAAAGAAGACAUAGAAAAAACUCGACUAAAUCCGUGAAUAUACACACGCUUAUGUAUGUGCGUGCGUAUAGAGACCACCUCUCCGUCGCCGUCAUCGUCUAACGAAAAAUUGCCCGUCUCCCUUCAGAAAGAGAGUGGAUCAAACUGGUACAGUAUAUGUCACCAAAUCAAGUAUUUGAGGUGUAUAAUACGUAAACUCGAGGUAUAUAGAUACGUAUUCUAUACAGCUAGCACAGUAGUGCGUUAUAAACAAUAGACUGCCACAAUCAUUACUGUCAUUGUGUACGUACAGUUGACACUCGUGGCAAUUAUAAAGUUGCUAGUGUUGACUUUCUCCUGUAUAUGUUCGUACAAUUAUUUAGUGACCAAAUAUAUUUUUAGAUAGAAUAAAGCUCGACCUUUACUUCAAAGAAGUUACAACCACUUAUUACAAAUAUCCGCUCAAUAAAUAGCACGUAACACUACCCACAAAGAGAGCACACAAAAUUCAGGAAGUGCAAAUAUAUAUAUUUGGUGACCAGUCUCACAUCAGAUUAUGUUAACAAAGAUGUACUCCCUCCGUCCAAAAAAACGAAUCUAGAAUUGGAUGUGACGCAUUCUAGUACAAUGAAUCUGGACAGAGGUAUGUCCAGAUUAGUAGUACUAGGAUGUAUCACAUCCAGUAUUAGGUUGGUUUUUUAUAGGAUGGAGGGAGUAAGCAGCAGGGUUAAAAAAAAAGAGAUAAUCCAUUCUAUGCCAUUGACAAAGCAUGGAUUCAACAAUAUACCAUUGAUAAAGCUCAGUUCUAUAAUAUACCAUCGAACAACUACUUUUCUUCCUUACAUGCCAUCGCCGCCAGUCAACAGUUAGUCAAAUUCUGUUAAGAGCAAAAAAAUGUCUAUUUUACCCCUAGGGUACGAUGCAUCCUCAUCGAUUUCACUGAUCAUGAUUCACUAUUUAUUCUCAUUGAUGAAAAAUUGAAAUUGCUUGUCUUUUUAUCAUCCAAGAUUUUUUUACCGCGAUAUGGCAUUAUGCAAAAUCUCAAUUUUAUGCUAGGGGUAAAAUGGUCAUUUUUCAUCUUUUAACGGCGGUUGACUAACGUCGAUGGCAUAUAAGGAAGAAAAUGAGUCAUUCGAUGGUAUAGUGUGGAACUGAGUUUUGUCAGUGGCAUAUUGUAGAACCCGCGUUUUGUCGAUGUCAUAAAAUGGAUUGACUCUAAAAAAAACGCCUUCAAAAACUCCAGAGCAGUUUUCUUAGUUUUCACGAAAUAGCUGAAUUAAUACUUGUGAAAUUCGACUAAAUUUUGUCAAAAUUGAGUUUUUUUUUUACUUAACCGAUUUGUGCAAAACCGAGCGGUUUCCAUCAGCUUUGUUAAAACCCUGAUUAAGCAGUAACGUAACCACUUCUUUUCUACUCUAUCAGAGAACACGCAGGGAAUUGACCCCAUGCUCUAUUGGAGAAAAGAACAACUUCAACUAUACGUAUUCAAUUCGAAGACUUGCCGUUCAGCAUAUUCUGGAUGACGACUGUAGUCUGUAGAACUAUUCCUCAUCCCCAAAUACAUUUUGUCUCCCUGCUUGCCACAGCUUAACCUUUCUCCUUUCUGCAAUAUUUUUACAGGACAGGAAAGGUUCUUCAGAAAAUACUUCUACUACUACAACAACAAAAGGUGGCCUUUCUUUUUUGUUGUGGAUGUAGCAUGUGUGAGGAAACUUUGACGGAUCGAAACCGCGUGAAAAAGGCCCAACAAUAUCACCUGCCGACACCAAACCGCAUCUCUGGUCUCGAGACCUCGCAUCGUCGAACAGCGGCGAACUGGUCCACGCACCCCGCGUGGGCGGUGGCCGGCUAAAAGGCCCGACCGGUCCGCCGGGAGCUCGCCGUCUUGGGGUUUUUGCAGUCGCGGAGUCUCUCGGUGGGGCGGUGCCAUGGCAGUGAGUGGCAAGCUUUGCUUUGCUCCCUGCGUGAUGAGUACUCCUACCUGCUAGUAUAUAGAAAGCCCCAAAGUAAGUAAAUGGGCACAUUUGGACUGCUUGGAAGUUUGAUCUCACAAGAAUUUCUGUAGGACAAAAAGAAAAAAAAAUGGCGGCACAACUUGGAGAGAGUUUGGGUGGAUGUUGCAUAUCAGUUAUCAUAUUUGCUCAGCAAGUCAGAAUAGCUGAAAGUUCUUAAAACAGAGUAUACAUAAAAAGGAAAAAAAGAGAGCACCCACAAUGCCAGAGAUUACUGAUUAAACUACGCUAUCAGGGGUUCAGAUAGGAUCAAACAGCCGCGCGCUCUUUCCUCUUUCUUAGGAGUAUAGAUUGACAAUGCAUUUGGCAUUUGCUAUUUCCCACGUGAUGGUGAUGGCGAUAAAUCAUUUUAGCUACUACUAAUAUGAUGAUGGAAGACACUAGGGGUGCCCCAUAGCAUAAUCUAUCAGCCGCCUUGUGCGUUAAGCAUAAUUUGUUUAAGUGGUCGAGGAAUUUACCAAGGGUGGAAGGCAUGCACUUGACAAGAAGAAUUACUUUCUAUCGCAAUCACCCGGUAUAAAACUAUGUUAUCUUGCUUACACUAGAAAGUUGAUUUCGAGCCUUGCGUACUAGGAAAAUGUUUGCCGCAAAAAGGUGGCGCGUCACGAUUACUGGAAAAAAGUCAGUGAGAUGUGAGGUCACAAUAAUCAGUUAAUUUAUGCUUGGGUUUUAACGGCAAUGUACAGUUGUCCAGCCAACUGUCGAGACUACUACAGCUCCCAAAAAGAAAAUAAAUGAGCAGCGUACACCUAAUUUAUCUUCCAUUUUAUUUGUAUAUUUUAGGUGGAAAAUUAUAACAUCCGGCUUUCCAUUUUGUAUGGAUGGACUCACGGACAAAAUGCUACUAACACAUGCCACUUGUUAAGAGAAAGGUUGGCGAAAUUACGUUACCCAAUAUCAAUACUUGAGAAGAUGAGAGGAGGUUAGAGAGGAACAAAUACUGCUACUCGAUAUAGUCAAAUUGUAAUCAAUGUGUUUCGUGAAAAAAAUAUAUAUGUAAAAUUUUCUUGGAAUACUUUUCUAAAAUAGCUUUUUAAUUUCGUAUGAGUUAAUUUAUUUGUUUAUAUACGUAAAUUAAAUAGAUAUUAAAAAAAUCAAAUACUAAUCAUUUAUUUCAGCUGGUAUAUCAGAUACUAGGAUUGACAAGUUCGUUAGAGUUAAGUGGGUGGUCCGAUGUAAAAUUGAAAAGAUACUCCGUACUCAGUGCAAUGAAAGGGUUGAGUUACCACGUUGGUAGGGUUGCGCGAAAGCACCAGCUCGGAUCUGUGUCCUCUUCCUUCGGUGAGGUGGCACGGACAGACUGGAAACCGAUCGAGACGAAUGGAGGAGUAAUGAGCACGUGUCAGAAAUCCGAUCAAGAAGGAAUUGAAACUGGCGUACAGCACAUGGGGACCCGAUUGCCACUCAUUUGAUUUCCUACUCCUAUUGAAGACGGAAUUUCAUCGUCCCGAGUUCUAGAUUGUGGUAGUAAAUCACUGCUCCAAAAUCCAUGCAAUCUGCUACUGCUAGUAGAUUUUGAGGUGAAUCUACCAGUUGAGAUGAUGGCUCCAGCGCUUCGUGUUGUCUGAAUGGCCAGGGGGCGACAGGUUCAGGGCGAGAUCCGAAACUGAGAUAAGGAUGAAUGAUUGCUUCCACUGUCACCAACCAAAUCAUAAAUAAACAAGACGCCGCAACUAGCUACUGCCUACUGGCCUAGUGAAUUUCAGAUCAUGCUGAGAUGGUAUUGUAAUACUUCCUCCGUAAAAAAAAAUUAGAAUAGAAUGUGACAUAUUUUCUCUGUUUUAUAAUGUCUAUCAUUUUCAACAUUCAUACUGAUAUUAAUAAAUCUAGAUUGUGUAGAACUCAAGAGUAUAUUAUAGUUAAUUUUUUCUAUGUAUUCUCAUAUCAUGGACCAAUUAAGCGAUAGAUUCUCUAUAUUCUCCACACGGUAUUUGUGCUCAUGAGCCAUGCGCCAAAAUUUAGCCAUCUGAAUUUUAUAUACCAGCAAUUUGACGGCCUAGAUUCAAUCAUAUCCAACCAAUGGUUAAUGCGCCCCUAAUUGUGGGUUAAUGCUUUUGCUAGCUAGCCUAGCUAAGAACAAUAGUCAGGUUGUGUGCGUCCGUGCGGACGCUGAAAUGUAGCCCUUCUCCAAUCCCAUCCGUUUCAGAAUUUCGGUUUUAUCCUAUCUUAAACUUCAUAAAGGUUGGGAAUAUUUAUAGAAAAAACAUAGCAAUAUUUUUAUAGCACCAAAAAAAAUAUAUUCAAUUGUGGAUUUAAUAAAAUUAAUUUGGUGGUAUAAAUAUUGCUAUGUUAUUCUAUAAAUUAGGUCUAACCGUGGCUUGUCGGCCUUGGCACCUACGGUGGGUUUUGAAGCACCCACUCACAUAUGCACCGGUGCCGGAGACCGACUGGAUCGCCUACAUAGCUCGGGUUUAACGGCGACUGCUCUCACCAUGUCGCCGCGCGGGGUUGCGACGUCGGGGAGGCAUGCCGCAGCACAACAUUGUGCACCUGCGCGGCGGCGGGAGCGGCUGCAAUUGGCAUCUUUUUCUUGGGCCGCCUCCCUUGCUGGCGCCCUCCUCACCGCCUGCGGUAUCAGCUGGAGAGAGGACAGAGAUGGAGGAAGAGAAAAUAUGGGAGGAUAAAGGAAGAUGGAACUGUUAUAUGGGUCCCUAAACCAAUGUUUAGGGGUAUUAGACGGGAGAAAGAAGGAAUAAAACGGGAAAAAAAAGAGAUGGAUGGAAAAUAUGAUGACAGUAGUAUGGUCCUAAUUUUGUACAGUUUCAGUUACAUGGAUAAACACAUUUAUUGUAACGAUAUUUAUUUGAAUAAACACAUUUACAUAUGGAUUCAAUUUACCUUUUUUUUAUCCUUAGUGCAGUGUCUGUCCAAGAUAUUGUGGUUAUUGGAGUCGAUCGACAAGAUAUUUUUUAACCACUUAAUAUGUGAUUUAUUUUUAUUGUGUUAUGUUUUAUACCAAGUAUGUUUUUACAUAGUACAUGAUUUGCCGAUUUCCAGACCCUCCGGAUACGCGAAACGACAUAUUUUCAAUUGAAAAAUAAUUUGUAAAUAAAAAUUUUAUAUAUGUGUUCUUAGCGAUCUAAAAGCAAAUGCUAAAAAAUAAACUUCGAUGAAAAAACCCUGAAAUUAACUUUAAAUUUAAGGUCAAAAAUUUAAAAUGUGGCUGAUAAGUAUAAGCGCAAGCGAAAAGACGAGGCACUCUCAGAGAGGGUUUUGUAUAUAUCCCCUACCAAGCUUUUGCUUAUUUCAUCUCAUGCAAAGUUUUGUCCCUUGCUCAGAUUUUUUAAAGUCAAACUUUAUGGUUGUUGUGCAUCCUAUAUGUAGAUGUCGGCCAUGUUGGGUAGCUAAUCAUUUUUCUUAUGUAUAUAAAAUUAAAACUUAAAAUAUUAAUACAUUUACUAAUUUUGUUCUAAUAAAGGAAUUUUAGGAUACAUCUGGAUAAGUAAUGCUCAUAUAAAUCCUUAAAGUCUCUUAUAUUUUUCGACGAACUAAGUGACAUUUGUUACUAGACUGUACACUGAAAAUAUUAUCCAUAGAUCAGUAUAAAAUUUCUUUCAUAAUAUUACAGGUUUAUCAGGUCAUAAAGUUGAAUAAUAGGUCAGGUUUGAUCGUGCAUCUACAAGUAAAACGAUAAAAAAAUAUUGUCGUCAGUGAAGAAAAUAUCGGGGUUUUUUGCGUGAGAAGAUUAUACCCGCUUGUAAUUCAAUAGUUUUGACUCAUACGAUUUGACUUUUCUGUUCACGUCUUGAGUGUCUUGACGUACCUAGAAGCGUAAUUAUGCAGCAUGUACGUGCAGCUAGUCAGUGGCGAAUAAAAAAAAUAGUAGUGAGGCUGAGCAAACUCCACUCCUCCCAUCUAUAUAUGUAAAAUACAUAUUAAUCCCUCGGUCUGAAAAAUAGAAAAUAUAAAUAAAUGGAGCGUAGGAGUAUUUCAGUCAGAAUUACUAGUAGCUGGAUAAUUAAGGGUGUGUUUAGUUCACGUCAAAAUUGAAAGUUUGGUUAAAAUUGAAACGAUGUGAUGAAAAAUUUGAAAGUUUAUGUGUGUAUAAAAGUUUUGAUGUGAUGGAAAAGUUGGAAGUUUAAAGAAAAAGUUUGGAACUAAACAAGGGCUAAGAAUCGUGCUCGGACAAACUAUGAAAUUAAGAGCUAGCCAGCACAUCGACUGAAAUUUCUUUCAGGUUGUCGGCUGCCUGUUUCUUUUUCCAGUUUUUUUUUCUUUUUCAUCAACUUGGUACUUUUUCAAAUUGACAAUGCGACAUAUCAAUUUAUAUCGAUACAAUGGCCGCGGUUGACUACACAUGUUUAUAUCUAUAGGUCAACUGAUUGUACUCCAUAUGCUAAGAGUAGUACUCUUUGAAUUAAAGUAAGAGCAUUCUUUAUUCAAACAUGGAAAAAUGGUGGAAUUUUUUCCUAGUCAAAAAUACAACCUCCUCUGCAUCUCAUCAAAGAUUGUACACGCUGUUUUCACUCAAGUAAAACCAUGGGUCAGUUUCAGAGAGUUUCUGACAACUACAUGUCUACAACUACUCCUAGAAUUUGAUCUCUCCCAAAUAGUUUAAAUUCUCACCUGAAUUCUAAUACUUUACUCCAUCCGUCCCUCAAAGACUAUUAUUUUAUUUUAGAAAUUCAAAAACAUAUAAAAUAAAUAAAUAAAUGACUAACAUACCCUUUUGUCCAUGUGGAGAGAACGAGUAGAGGAAGGAAAUUAGGAGGAGAUGGGUACUAUUGGUUAGAUAGCUAAAAACAAGAUGAAGUAGUAUUAAGGUGUAGUUCAUUUCGAGUGUUGGCCGCAGUAACUCCGUGGUAUAUAAAACGAGAUAAGCCAUUAGCAAAUAAUUAACUGAAUGUUUUUAGAACGAAUAAUUCAUUGAAUGUUCAUAAUUACAAAGUUUAAACAAAUAGAUUUAUUUUUUUAAAAAAAAUACUUCUAUAAAAAAGGUUUUCUAAAAAGCAAACCGUUCCAGAAAACGAGGAAGUUGUCACUCCAAACCCGAACCUAAAACUAUAGUUUUCAUGGGAUAAACUUUUAGGCUAAACCAACCAGUUUUUAAGACGUAUAGAGUAAUAGUUAUAAUUUCUAGAAAAUAAAUUGGUUAUCGGAAGCUAGGUUCUCUAAAUUAUCACUCAGUCACCAGUUAAUUGUCAAAAAUUUUAGCUGUCCUGAAUAGAGCAUAUAUUGUCGUCAUGCCUGUUUGAGCUACGGAUUAUAAGCCAUAGCUAAGCUCUAAAUUUGAAACUUAAAUUUUUCCAUUAAUUUUCCGUCGCUUUUGUCACUCAAACUAUUGGACACCACUAAGAACAGAAAUGGAAAAAAAAAUCUUACUCCAAAGUCAUUUAGUUUUCCCUUUUCAUUCACCACGUCUCAUCAGCCUAUGUCCAAAAAAAAACACCUCACGACCAGCAGCAAUAUUUCUCCAGGUUAGUUACUGCGUGCUCCAGCAAAGUUACCGACCGUGUGUGCCCAAACUCGUGUGCAGUACAAAACUGUACACGCGCUGGCAUCAUGCAUUUCAACCGCGGACCACUCCAAAGCCGAUCUGAAGUGCGUUCCACGGGACCAGGUGAUGCUACCGAGACGGCCACACGUGUUCACCGCCCAAGAAGCACGAUGAGCACGUGCGGUAGAUCGGAUUGGUGGUCACGACGGACGGCCCGAGAUGUGACCACGACCCACCCCACGCCUUUACGUGUACGGCCUGGAUAGGCCCCGGCGACCAUUUCACCGGCGGUAUAUCCCCCCCGCAUCUCGACUAGUACUGCGCGUGGUUGCUCGUCUGACGAAAGCAAGUAAAAAAAAAACUCGAGCUUACUACUACAGUAUAGUCCACGUGGAGUUAGAGUAGCACUCCAGUAGUAGUGCCAUUUGUAGAGAAAAAGUUGGAGUACGCUAUUCUACUAGUAACCUUUUUACUGUACUCUGCUAGCUGGAAGUGUACCAUUGAGUUAUAGCUAUACAGUUCUAGGAAGGAAAUUCUGGAUGUGGUAGUUUUCAUGAAGCAGUACACAAAAUACGUCAACCACGUCUACUACUCCAAAUAGGAGGCAUACGUAUGUCCGGUCAUUUUCUAUUCAUGUCUAAGACAGUGGACACCGUACUACACCCUACUGUAUCGAUCCACAUGACCUAGAAAAAUGGAGCAUAUGUACAAGCAAAUGGGCACAUCAGAAUGGCCAAAGAAAAAACAUAUCUAACCCCAAAAAAACUACUUCCUCCUCCGUUUCAAAAUAUAGCAACUUUUAGCCCUUAGUAUUUGUCCCAAAAUAUAACUUCUCCACCAACAUUCUCUUCCUAACCAAUCACAACCCUCCAACAUUCAAUUUUCCCACCUAUCUCCACUACUCAGCCAAUCACAAUCAUCUACCACUCACUUCUACCACUAUCUCUAAAAAAUAAGUCCCUACCUUAGAGACUUAUUUUUGGAGACCCCCUUAACAACCGUAUCCAACUCUAGAACUUUUUAUAUUGUGGGACGGAAGAAGUAUUACCUGCAAAAGGAAAAAAUUGAUAUCUAACCAGGACAUGAUUGGGGGAGUAGUACAACUUAAAUGGCGAAGAGGAAAAAAAAAUACAAGAUCGUUGCGGAAACCGUAAUUAAAUCCGUCGCCCCCAAUUAUUUCCCGGUGCCUGAACAAGAUCAAACUAUCAGAUUCCUGUAGCCCUGUAUUGCUGUGGCCAACGGUAUCUGAAGCAGUAGCAGUACUAAUGCAAGUUGUUCCGAGGAAAACAAGAACCAGCAGUACUCCAAGUUAAAAGCACACAAAUGUACCAGGAGUACAAUGCAACAGCAUCUGGCUCUGAUUAAGGUCCGUGUUAACUUGCACUGUUGCACAAACUCGAUCGAUUAAGAGCUGAUACAAUAAUAGACUAUUAGCUGGCUACAAACAUAUUUUAAUAAGAUAAAAGAUAAGAGAGAAGAGCAGCAGGCUACAGAUCUGUAGCCAGCUGCAGCACGGACUUCAAGACACAAUGUGUGUAGAACAGGUGUGAUCAUAUACUAAUAGUAUAGUAAGCAAUUAUUGUAUAAAUUAUCUAUUAUAUUAGUUAUAAAUGAAUUGGAGCUAGUAGUGGACUAUACUAUUAAACUUGCUCUAAUAAUUUACCUGCAGUGCGAUUAAUACCGUACUCUCUGUCUCCACACUAGCGUGGUUAAUGUUGGAUCUUUUUACUGCGGUAGAAAAUCUACCGAGGCGUAGUACGCGCGUUCCCGGGGAGGUGUGAACCCGAGUUUGUGUGGGGCCCGAGUGAGGUGGGCGUGCGUGUAAAGCCACACAGGGCCGAGGGAGUGGGCCCGGGUUUGUUCAGGACACGUGGCCCAAGCCCAUAUGGCAGCACGUGGUGGUGCUUCAGGAUCGCGCUGCUGCGGCGGCGGCUGCGGAAUCGAAGGCCGUCAAAGUUAACCGGAUUUGAUGAGGAAAGUGUGGCUUCGCCGAUGACCGUUUUGCCCUCCGUAGCAGCUGUGAGCGCUCGCACUGCUGCUGCUAGCGCUAGCGCUGUCCUUGCUGUGCUGUAGCCGCUGGAUCUUGUGCGGAUUGUCUAGCUGUAUGUAGGUGCUACUGAGCUCAGCAGUAACCGAAAGAGUUAGGACUCGCAUGCACCUAUUUGGUUCUGUUCGUUUGAUGGACUAGGAGCAAGUCUGUGCGUUUUUAACUACACUUUCGCAAUUUACUCUCUCAUUUUUUACAUGUAUGUUAAUAUAUUUUUUUCUUGAAGUGCUAAGGUCCUCUUUUUUAGACUUGGGUUUAUUGGUUUAGUCUUUUAAUUCAUCUUUUUCUUAUAUGUUUUAUAGACCGAUAACUUUGAAAACCUAAACUUAAUGGUUGAGUUAUUCCUCACCUCAAUUAAGCAAAAAAAAAAAAACCCUCCAACCUAACUUUGGCUUAACAGUGCAAUAGUGACUUAUGGUUUUAAAAAAAUACCAAACGAAAAAUCUGCAUAUUUGUUUACUCUUAAACUUUCCAGCUCAUAAGUCGAGUGAUAUAUUUUUUUCAAAAAAAAUUUUAUAGGAAAGUUGGUUUAAAAAAUCUCUUUAGCUAGUACAUAUGUAAUCACGUGCUAAUACAUCGGUUUGUUUUGUGUACCAAAGAGAAGGGUUCCAACACCCUAAGAAAACUCUGCCUAAUGCUCAUUAAUUAAGAGGUAACACAUACAACAUAUUAUCUUUAAUACAUUUGUCCUAAUAUAUUAUAAUAAUUUUACUUUAUUUAUUUUCAUUCAAUUUAUUGGUCUAUUUCUCAUCUCUUUAAGAGCGAGUACAACAAGAUGAUGUAAGCAAGCUAUAUAAGUUGCAACAUCAUAUUUGUAUUUAUGCGGAAGAAAAAGGAGAGGAGAUAGAAAAAAAAGCGGGCUAUAGAUUUGUAGCCAACUGCACCACGAGCUCCGAUAAACUAUUGGGUGGAUUAGAUAUUAAUAAUGCAAUAUAUGUUUACAGCUUACUACUGUAUGAGUGUUUUUAGGUUGGAUAUAGAUGAUGUUUUAAUUUUUGGAACUACUAGUAAUUGGCUUUAUUAUUAAACUUGCACUAAGAAGUAUGUAUAUAUGUUACCCCAUACAUAAGAGGUGACUCCUCUCUUCUCCAUCUCAUGUGAUCGGGCAUCUUGGGGGCAAGAGCAUUGAGGUCUAUAGUACUUGCUCUAGUGGUGAGUUCUAAACUGAUUUUAUGAUUGACUACUUUCUCGUUCUUUGUAAGGACACAUCCCGAACAGCUAAACUGUGUUUCAUGUAAAAAAAUAAAAGUUAUCUAUUUUUCAAAUCUGUAAUAAUUAAUACUCGAUUAACCAUGCAUCAAAGGUUUAUCUCAUUUCAGGUGUCACUAAAAAGCUUAGCCCAACCGCUCUCCCGAACUUAGCCUUAAGUAUAUAUAAGUUUGCUAUGUUUAAGUUGCCUAUGGUAUAUAAAAAUGGAGCACACCUUAGCUAGCAAUAUGAAGGAUGCUCUAUUUUGUAGAUUGAGUGGAGCACAAAUAUGGCUAUAAACCAAAAGGUGAUUUUUUGUGAUGUGAAAAAAGUAGGAAAUGUUUGGCAGUGAAUUAAACAACAUUUGAGUACUUUACUCUCUUUGUAAAUGGUAUAGUAUGUUACAAUGACAGUAGGAUAUUAAAUUGUCUGAGUAAAUUGAUCACUAAACUUAGUGUUUGCUGGCCAAACAAUUAUAGUUUGUAGUAUAUUCUACAAAUUAACAAAAUCUAGCUUACAUUUAAGUUUGCAUACCAUUAAAAGAAAAAACUUGUCGUAAUGUUUUACUCAUUUAUGUCUAGUUUGGUUUUUUCCUAACUGAGCGUUUCAAUAAUAAAUGUAUAGCAAACUUAUUUUUUUACUUUGAUUGAAAUGGACAAUUUUAGAAACAAGAUGUAUGUGAGUUGAAACAUCGAUUAAUAUACUCCCAAUAAGAUAUUAUCUAUACUCCUCUAAAAAGAAUUCAAUGGUGGUGGUAUUGAAGCUGCCAUCAACACAUACUCCCAUUACAAUUUUUACAUAUUAUCUCUUAAACUUCUUAAUAUUUACAUAACAACUAAAUCUAAAUAGAUAGCCACAUAUAAAAUUAACGUGGAUAAUCACAUUUUCCUACACAUUCAAACUAGACAACGUUCAUUAGAUAUUUUAUCCUAGUUUGUAUGCUUCCAGCCAAAAACUAAUUAAUCAUAUUUUAAAUUCAAUAACAGUUUAGAGAACUCAUUAAAAAAAACUCCCGCCAAACACGUACGUGUACUCACACGUUUUGCCCUAUUUUUGCAUGCCUACCGAUGUACGUGCUCCCAUAAAAAAACUUGAAAAGCGCGCAGAAAAUCAGUCUCUCCCCCAUGUAGCCUCCGGGAGGGAGAACCAAUCUGAUACUGUACUACAUACAGUACUAAACAGAACCCUACCGAGGGCAAAACGGUAAACCGGCCUCCCUGCAGCCCCUGGAGGGCCUGGACACAGUACACCUAGCUAUUAGCUCUCUGAUCCUGGGACCCCACAUGUCACGGACAGAUGCCUGUGUUUCACCUUUUCACCCUCCCAAAGCAACGCAGUUACCGGCUUACCGGAGCGAGCCGCCGCCGCCGCCGCAGCGCAGCGGCGCAGGGCGGUUCGUUCGUGGGAGGAAGACUAGUUUUAGGGCGGGAUUAUAAAAGGGGGAGGGGGAGGAGAAGGUCCCUGUCGCUGUUGCACCCAAGCCACCACCCAUUUCGGCACACCCUUCCCUCCACUUGCCGAUUACUUUUUUGCCCCCCGGCGCGCUGGGCGCCUUGGCUUUGGCCCUGGCUUUGGCUCCGCUGUUCUUAUCUUCCCCACUCGUGCCUGGCUCUCUCUCUCUCCCUUUCUCCUCUCCUCCAAGGUCAUGGCAAAGGAGAAAUAACAGCUAGCGGGCUUGGGGAAGGGAAAACAGCAAGUGGGAGAUCGGCAGGGAGAGGUAGGGAGCUCGAUCUCGCCUUUGCUUGCUUGCUGCUAUCCCCUUCUCUUUCUGUUGUGGGCUUGCUGUUCUCCAUGUCCUCCUGUUGAUGGUUGCUUGUGUUCGAGUUUUUUUCUUUUUUUUUCUUUUUUUUUCUUGGAGAGGAUGUGGUUGUGUUCAUGAUAGGUUGGUGGUCUGUGAUCUGUUUGGGUAGAUCUUUUGUCCUCUUUUUCAGAUAUUUCGUGGAUGCUAGAGCUGCCUGCGGUAGCCAAUUCCUGUUUGGCUACUUCUUCGUUGCCCUUUAUUCCCUUCCAAUUUUAUUCCGUGAUUUUCUGUUCUUGUGCGUAGAAUUGUUUCUGCCAAGCUUGAGUAAAUCCAUGGCAGAGGUCAAAGCUUAGCUUUUUUCAGAUUAUACGAUUUGCUGCCAGCCAAAGGAGAAAGGGAAAAAAACUUAGAAAUUUUCUACUAGUUUUCUCUUGUUGUGUUCAUUAGAUCUCAGAGAUUAACCUAAUUUAAGGAAUACAUGUUGUAAAUCCUGCUCUGGAAAUGUUAAGUGGUUGGGUGUAAGGAAGCAUCUUGUUUUGCAUCGAGUUUAUGGCCAAAAACAAUCAUUGAUGCUUCCUCUAAGGCGGUGUAUGUUUUCCUCUGUUCUCCAUUUGAUGUGUUCUUGAUCCAUUUUCGUCUCUUGUUUUCUUCUGUUCUUUUAGAUGGCCUCCGAUUCCUUUUGAUAAGCACAUGGGUACAUGUUCUUGUUUCCAACAGUCCAUGCCGGUCGUGGUAGACCGAAAAAAUAAUCCAUAAAAAUAUAUCCUUUUUCUGAAAUGUUUUUCCCGUGCUUUUCUAUUCCUUUUUCAUCUCCCACUUUGAUCUGAUCAAGGCUUGUUGUUUCAUGUGUUUCAAAAUACUUCACGGAAAGGAUAAGAAAAGGAGAAAUUUCACAUGUUUAAGUUUCUUUUGAUCCCUACUUGUUUCAAAGCAGCAUGAAAAUACCGUUUCAGCUAAUCCCGUGCAUCACAAAAUGUUUUCAUGCUUCGGCUUUGACUAAUUCUUCCGUUAGUACUUUAUUUAUGAUCAUGUCUGAAUCAUGAUACCUUUAUGCUGUGUAGUAUGAUUAUGUCACAACAAAAGAUAACCAUGUCCUAUAUGACUGUUAAUUGCGUGCUCUUAACUCUGUGAGAGGAUUGCAGGAGAUAUGUCUGAUCAGAUAAAGAUCUCUCUGUUUCACCAAACACAUGCAAAAUUAGGCUCUGGCCCUUGCUUCAAUAGGCAAACCUAAUUUUACUCGCGCGAUAAUCUCCUGGUCUCCUGGCUUUCUAGAUCUUAGAAUGUUUUCUGAAGGGAAACAAACCAGUACUGCCUCUUUAUUUUUGGUAAUGGCGUAAUUGCCGCAUUAGGAUGCUGCGGUAACCGUAGUCGUGUUGCGCAUGUAUUCUCAGUUAAGGAGGUAGUAGUAACACUUAUUGCGUUUAGACGAAGUAAUCAGUUGCUUAAACUUGGUUUUGAUUUCUGUAAUUAACAUCAGCUUCUUCUCUUGCUUGUGUGCAGGUGAAUUACUACUUGAGUAGAAGUGGUACAAGAAGAGUCGUCGUCUACCUGUGAGCGAAUUAUUUCGAGGUUGUGCGUUGCGAUGAUGGGAGGUGGUCUGGUGAUGGACCAGGGCAUGAUGUUCCCCGGCGUGCACAACUUCGUGGAUCUCCUGCAGCAGAACGGCGGCGACAAGAACCUCGGCUUCGGCGCGCUCGUGCCGCAGACGUCGUCGGGGGAGCAGUGCGUGAUGGGGGAGGGCGACCUCGUGGACCCGCCGCCGGAGAGCUUCCCGGACGCCGGUGAGGACGACAGCGACGACGACGUGGAGGACAUCGAGGAGCUGGAGCGCCGCAUGUGGCGCGACCGCAUGAAGCUGAAGCGGCUCAAGGAGCUGCAGCUGAGCCGGGGCAAGGACCCCGCGGGCGGCGUCGUGGGCGACCCGUCCAAGCCGCGGCAGUCGCAGGAGCAGGCGCGGCGGAAGAAGAUGUCGCGCGCGCAGGACGGCAUCCUCAAGUACAUGCUCAAGAUGAUGGAGGUGUGCCGCGCGCAGGGGUUCGUGUACGGGAUCAUCCCGGAGAAGGGCAAGCCGGUGAGCGGCGCCUCCGACAACCUCCGCGGCUGGUGGAAGGAGAAGGUCCGCUUCGACCGCAACGGCCCCGCCGCCAUCGCCAAGUACCAGGCCGACAACGCCGUCCCGGGCUUCGAGAGCGAGCUCGCCUCCGGCACCGGGAGCCCGCACUCGCUGCAGGAGCUGCAGGACACCACCCUCGGGUCGCUGCUCUCGGCGCUCAUGCAGCACUGCGACCCUCCGCAGCGGCGGUACCCGCUCGAGAAGGGCGUCCCUCCGCCGUGGUGGCCCACCGGCGACGAGGAGUGGUGGCCGGAGCUCGGCAUCCCCAAGGACCAGGGCCCGCCUCCGUACAAGAAGCCCCAUGACCUCAAGAAGGCCUGGAAGGUCAGCGUGCUCACCGCUGUCAUCAAGCACAUGUCGCCGGACAUCGAGAAGAUCCGCCGGCUGGUCCGGCAGUCCAAGUGCCUCCAGGACAAGAUGACCGCCAAGGAGAUCUCCACCUGGCUGGCCGUCGUCAAGCAGGAAGAGGAGCUGUACCUGAAGCUGAACCCCGGUGCCCGCCCUCCGGCACCUACCGGCGGCAUCACCAGCGCCAUAUCGUUCAACGCCAGCUCAAGUGAGUACGACGUCGACGUCGUCGACGACUGCAAGGGCGACGAGGCCGGCAACCAGAAGGCUGUUGUUGUCGCCGACCCGACCGCGUUCAACCUCGGCGCGGCUAUGCUGAACGACAAGUUCCUCAUGCCGGCGUCCAUGAAGGAGGAGGCCACCGAUGUCGAGUUCAUCCAGAAGAGGAGCGCGUCUGGCGCGGAGCCUGAGCUGAUGCUGAACAACCGUGUCUACACCUGCCACAAUGUCCAGUGCCCGCAUAGCGACUAUGGAUACGGGUUCCUUGACCGGAACGCGCGCAACAGCCACCAAUACACUUGCAAGUACAAUGAUCCACUCCAGCAGAGCACGGAGAACAAGCCAUCGCCACCGGCCAUCUUCCCGGCAACCUACAACACGCCGAACCAGGCUCUGAACAAUCUGGAUUUCGGCCUGCCCAUGGAUGGCCAGAGGUCAAUUACAGAGCUGAUGAACAUGUACGACAACAACUUCGUGGCCAACAAGAACCUUAGCAACGACAAUGCCACGAUCAUGGAGAGGCCUAAUGCAGUCAACCCAAGGAUACAGAUUGAAGAAGGCUUUUUUGGACAGGGAAGUGGCAUCGGCGGCAGCAACGGAGGUGUGUUCGAAGAUGUCAAUGGCAUGAUGCAGCAACCGCAGCAGACCACCCCGGCACAGCAGCAGUUCUUCAUCCGCGACGAUACUCCAUUCGGUAACCAGAUGGGCGACAUCAAUGGCGCAUCGGAGUUCAGGUUCGGCUCUGGUUUCAACAUGUCAGGUGCCGUCGAAUACCCCGGCGCAAUGCAGGGCCAGCAGAAGAAUGACGGCGCAUCGGAGUUUGAGGAAUUGGAAUGAUCCUAAGAGAUAGUGCUGGCCAAGUUAUUUUUACAUCAUGGCACUCUCUGGAUUAUUGCACCGAGGUGCUGGAAAUCUAGCUUACAUUUAAGUUUGCAUACCAUUAAAAGAAAAAACUUGUCGUAAUGUUUUACUCAUUUAUGUCUAGUUUGGUUUUUUCCUAACUGAGCGUUUCAAUAAUAAAUGUAUAGCAAACUUAUUUUUUUACUUUGAUUGAAAUGGACAAUUUUAGAAACAAGAUGUAUGUGAGUUGAAACAUCGAUUAAUAUACUCCCAAUAAGAUAUUAUCUAUACUCCUCUAAAAAGAAUUCAAUGGUGGUGGUAUUGAAGCUGCCAUCAACACAUACUCCCAUUACAAUUUUUACAUAUUAUCUCUUAAACUUCUUAAUAUUUACAUAACAACUAAAUCUAAAUAGAUAGCCACAUAUAAAAUUAACGUGGAUAAUCACAUUUUCCUACACAUUCAAACUAGACAACGUUCAUUAGAUAUUUUAUCCUAGUUUGUAUGCUUCCAGCCAAAAACUAAUUAAUCAUAUUUUAAAUUCAAUAACAGUUUAGAGAACUCAUUAAAAAAAACUCCCGCCAAACACGUACGUGUACUCACACGUUUUGCCCUAUUUUUGCAUGCCUACCGAUGUACGUGCUCCCAUAAAAAAACUUGAAAAGCGCGCAGAAAAUCAGUCUCUCCCCCAUGUAGCCUCCGGGAGGGAGAACCAAUCUGAUACUGUACUACAUACAGUACUAAACAGAACCCUACCGAGGGCAAAACGGUAAACCGGCCUCCCUGCAGCCCCUGGAGGGCCUGGACACAGUACACCUAGCUAUUAGCUCUCUGAUCCUGGGACCCCACAUGUCACGGACAGAUGCCUGUGUUUCACCUUUUCACCCUCCCAAAGCAACGCAGUUACCGGCUUACCGGAGCGAGCCGCCGCCGCCGCCGCAGCGCAGCGGCGCAGGGCGGUUCGUUCGUGGGAGGAAGACUAGUUUUAGGGCGGGAUUAUAAAAGGGGGAGGGGGAGGAGAAGGUCCCUGUCGCUGUUGCACCCAAGCCACCACCCAUUUCGGCACACCCUUCCCUCCACUUGCCGAUUACUUUUUUGCCCCCCGGCGCGCUGGGCGCCUUGGCUUUGGCCCUGGCUUUGGCUCCGCUGUUCUUAUCUUCCCCACUCGUGCCUGGCUCUCUCUCUCUCCCUUUCUCCUCUCCUCCAAGGUCAUGGCAAAGGAGAAAUAACAGCUAGCGGGCUUGGGGAAGGGAAAACAGCAAGUGGGAGAUCGGCAGGGAGAGGUAGGGAGCUCGAUCUCGCCUUUGCUUGCUUGCUGCUAUCCCCUUCUCUUUCUGUUGUGGGCUUGCUGUUCUCCAUGUCCUCCUGUUGAUGGUUGCUUGUGUUCGAGUUUUUUUCUUUUUUUUUCUUUUUUUUUCUUGGAGAGGAUGUGGUUGUGUUCAUGAUAGGUUGGUGGUCUGUGAUCUGUUUGGGUAGAUCUUUUGUCCUCUUUUUCAGAUAUUUCGUGGAUGCUAGAGCUGCCUGCGGUAGCCAAUUCCUGUUUGGCUACUUCUUCGUUGCCCUUUAUUCCCUUCCAAUUUUAUUCCGUGAUUUUCUGUUCUUGUGCGUAGAAUUGUUUCUGCCAAGCUUGAGUAAAUCCAUGGCAGAGGUCAAAGCUUAGCUUUUUUCAGAUUAUACGAUUUGCUGCCAGCCAAAGGAGAAAGGGAAAAAAACUUAGAAAUUUUCUACUAGUUUUCUCUUGUUGUGUUCAUUAGAUCUCAGAGAUUAACCUAAUUUAAGGAAUACAUGUUGUAAAUCCUGCUCUGGAAAUGUUAAGUGGUUGGGUGUAAGGAAGCAUCUUGUUUUGCAUCGAGUUUAUGGCCAAAAACAAUCAUUGAUGCUUCCUCUAAGGCGGUGUAUGUUUUCCUCUGUUCUCCAUUUGAUGUGUUCUUGAUCCAUUUUCGUCUCUUGUUUUCUUCUGUUCUUUUAGAUGGCCUCCGAUUCCUUUUGAUAAGCACAUGGGUACAUGUUCUUGUUUCCAACAGUCCAUGCCGGUCGUGGUAGACCGAAAAAAUAAUCCAUAAAAAUAUAUCCUUUUUCUGAAAUGUUUUUCCCGUGCUUUUCUAUUCCUUUUUCAUCUCCCACUUUGAUCUGAUCAAGGCUUGUUGUUUCAUGUGUUUCAAAAUACUUCACGGAAAGGAUAAGAAAAGGAGAAAUUUCACAUGUUUAAGUUUCUUUUGAUCCCUACUUGUUUCAAAGCAGCAUGAAAAUACCGUUUCAGCUAAUCCCGUGCAUCACAAAAUGUUUUCAUGCUUCGGCUUUGACUAAUUCUUCCGUUAGUACUUUAUUUAUGAUCAUGUCUGAAUCAUGAUACCUUUAUGCUGUGUAGUAUGAUUAUGUCACAACAAAAGAUAACCAUGUCCUAUAUGACUGUUAAUUGCGUGCUCUUAACUCUGUGAGAGGAUUGCAGGAGAUAUGUCUGAUCAGAUAAAGAUCUCUCUGUUUCACCAAACACAUGCAAAAUUAGGCUCUGGCCCUUGCUUCAAUAGGCAAACCUAAUUUUACUCGCGCGAUAAUCUCCUGGUCUCCUGGCUUUCUAGAUCUUAGAAUGUUUUCUGAAGGGAAACAAACCAGUACUGCCUCUUUAUUUUUGGUAAUGGCGUAAUUGCCGCAUUAGGAUGCUGCGGUAACCGUAGUCGUGUUGCGCAUGUAUUCUCAGUUAAGGAGGUAGUAGUAACACUUAUUGCGUUUAGACGAAGUAAUCAGUUGCUUAAACUUGGUUUUGAUUUCUGUAAUUAACAUCAGCUUCUUCUCUUGCUUGUGUGCAGGUGAAUUACUACUUGAGUAGAAGUGGUACAAGAAGAGUCGUCGUCUACCUGUGAGCGAAUUAUUUCGAGGUUGUGCGUUGCGAUGAUGGGAGGUGGUCUGGUGAUGGACCAGGGCAUGAUGUUCCCCGGCGUGCACAACUUCGUGGAUCUCCUGCAGCAGAACGGCGGCGACAAGAACCUCGGCUUCGGCGCGCUCGUGCCGCAGACGUCGUCGGGGGAGCAGUGCGUGAUGGGGGAGGGCGACCUCGUGGACCCGCCGCCGGAGAGCUUCCCGGACGCCGGUGAGGACGACAGCGACGACGACGUGGAGGACAUCGAGGAGCUGGAGCGCCGCAUGUGGCGCGACCGCAUGAAGCUGAAGCGGCUCAAGGAGCUGCAGCUGAGCCGGGGCAAGGACCCCGCGGGCGGCGUCGUGGGCGACCCGUCCAAGCCGCGGCAGUCGCAGGAGCAGGCGCGGCGGAAGAAGAUGUCGCGCGCGCAGGACGGCAUCCUCAAGUACAUGCUCAAGAUGAUGGAGGUGUGCCGCGCGCAGGGGUUCGUGUACGGGAUCAUCCCGGAGAAGGGCAAGCCGGUGAGCGGCGCCUCCGACAACCUCCGCGGCUGGUGGAAGGAGAAGGUCCGCUUCGACCGCAACGGCCCCGCCGCCAUCGCCAAGUACCAGGCCGACAACGCCGUCCCGGGCUUCGAGAGCGAGCUCGCCUCCGGCACCGGGAGCCCGCACUCGCUGCAGGAGCUGCAGGACACCACCCUCGGGUCGCUGCUCUCGGCGCUCAUGCAGCACUGCGACCCUCCGCAGCGGCGGUACCCGCUCGAGAAGGGCGUCCCUCCGCCGUGGUGGCCCACCGGCGACGAGGAGUGGUGGCCGGAGCUCGGCAUCCCCAAGGACCAGGGCCCGCCUCCGUACAAGAAGCCCCAUGACCUCAAGAAGGCCUGGAAGGUCAGCGUGCUCACCGCUGUCAUCAAGCACAUGUCGCCGGACAUCGAGAAGAUCCGCCGGCUGGUCCGGCAGUCCAAGUGCCUCCAGGACAAGAUGACCGCCAAGGAGAUCUCCACCUGGCUGGCCGUCGUCAAGCAGGAAGAGGAGCUGUACCUGAAGCUGAACCCCGGUGCCCGCCCUCCGGCACCUACCGGCGGCAUCACCAGCGCCAUAUCGUUCAACGCCAGCUCAAGUGAGUACGACGUCGACGUCGUCGACGACUGCAAGGGCGACGAGGCCGGCAACCAGAAGGCUGUUGUUGUCGCCGACCCGACCGCGUUCAACCUCGGCGCGGCUAUGCUGAACGACAAGUUCCUCAUGCCGGCGUCCAUGAAGGAGGAGGCCACCGAUGUCGAGUUCAUCCAGAAGAGGAGCGCGUCUGGCGCGGAGCCUGAGCUGAUGCUGAACAACCGUGUCUACACCUGCCACAAUGUCCAGUGCCCGCAUAGCGACUAUGGAUACGGGUUCCUUGACCGGAACGCGCGCAACAGCCACCAAUACACUUGCAAGUACAAUGAUCCACUCCAGCAGAGCACGGAGAACAAGCCAUCGCCACCGGCCAUCUUCCCGGCAACCUACAACACGCCGAACCAGGCUCUGAACAAUCUGGAUUUCGGCCUGCCCAUGGAUGGCCAGAGGUCAAUUACAGAGCUGAUGAACAUGUACGACAACAACUUCGUGGCCAACAAGAACCUUAGCAACGACAAUGCCACGAUCAUGGAGAGGCCUAAUGCAGUCAACCCAAGGAUACAGAUUGAAGAAGGCUUUUUUGGACAGGGAAGUGGCAUCGGCGGCAGCAACGGAGGUGUGUUCGAAGAUGUCAAUGGCAUGAUGCAGCAACCGCAGCAGACCACCCCGGCACAGCAGCAGUUCUUCAUCCGCGACGAUACUCCAUUCGGUAACCAGAUGGGCGACAUCAAUGGCGCAUCGGAGUUCAGGUUCGGCUCUGGUUUCAACAUGUCAGGUGCCGUCGAAUACCCCGGCGCAAUGCAGGGCCAGCAGAAGAAUGACGGCUCGAAUUGGUACUACUGAGAGUACUGAAGAAUAAACUUGUAGCGUUUAAAGAAAGAGCACCUUAAGCUUUUAAAGUUCACCAUGGUCAUCCCUCUGCUUCCAUGGUGGAAGCGUCUCCUGUGAACCCGGUAAUUCUAUAGGUCUUUCUCAUAUAGGUUUUGCAUUAGUUGCAAAAUGGCUGGAACUUGGAACUGGUUUAUACAUGUAUGUCCGUCCAGCCAGUAAACCUCCUAUGGAAACUUAAUGUUAUUUCUAGUUUAAUUUGUUAGUUAAAUGCUGUUCAUAUGUCUGGUUGUUAAGUCACCUGUGCUUGUUUGGGUAUGUGGUUUGUAUCUUUAUCAUCCGGUGAAUGUAUGAAGUGCUCUCUUGAGUAACUCUACGGCUCUACUUCUACCUGGUAAGCCUUCUACUGAUGUUCAUGUUUUGCCUAUACAUGUUUCAUGUUUGAUUGCUGCGGUACAUUUGGCCGUCUUCCUCUAUAGAUGUCAAUUUCCAGUUGGGGUUAAAUAUCAACCUAACCUGUGGAAAAUUUUCCUCCCGCUGUAUCUUUCAUGCCUGGAAAUUUUGUCAAGAUGGUAACUAGACAGGUAUACUUUUGUUUCUGCCAGUUCAUCAGAAGAAAUGUUCAAUUUACCUGGACUCCAAUUCACUUCGAUAUUGAUGUUGCCACUUUGCCAGUGGCACUAACCCAAGAUCCCAUCUCCAUUCCCUCAUUGGUGGUAAAAAAGACAUAUCCUGUUCGAGUUGCUUCUCUUGUUUCCCGUCAAUGAUCUCAAUGUCUUUCACAUCAAAGAUGCUUGGAAAGCUAGGAUUUGAUAGUCUCAGCUUUUCGUAAAGCCGGGUCAAUGCAAAGCUGCAACCCUAAGAAAAGUUAGGCAGUCCAAAGCUAAGCUUCCCUUGAUGGCUUAUCUUAAAAAGGGAAGAAGAUGAAUUUCGGAUGGAUUGAUGGAUGGUCCCUUGUUUGAUCACAACUCCAAAGAACCCCAUCUCUCCUCCAUCUCCAUAUCUCCCAUGGCCCUUUAUUGCUUGCAAGGUGGCACUUAUCAUCCGUCCUCAUCUUAUCCCUUAGCCUGUGAAGGUGGUGGGACUUGUCACUUGUGACCCCUCCUCACAUGCUAACAGGGACGCCCCCUAUCAUGGGGAUAGAUAGAUAGAGAGAUAGAGAUCAGGGACAGGGACAGCUUAGUCGACAGCACUUGCCGAGUUAACGUGGCAACGGAUCCACAGUCGCUUGGCCACAAGAAAAGCCUCAUCUACUGGGACCAUUUUCUUCUCUUCUUCUCCCUUGGAAGACAAAUCUUGGGGUGACUUGGGGUGAAAAACGUUGGGGAGUUUGGGGAUGGAGAAACUCUAGGGAAAGGUGAACAGUUGAGUCAGUUGAAAGGUAGUAAGGAUUAGGCCUUGUGAGGCCACCAAAUCAGGGCUCUGUCGGCUACAAAUCCUUCUCGAGAUCUGCUUAAUCUGCCCUAAGUAACCCCUUAUAAUAGUUUUAUGCAAAGAGUUCCAUGCAAGAUAAUAUAAGAAAAGGAAAUGGCUAAUGUGACUUGAAAUGGUCAAUUUGCCUUUGGGGCAUUCUUGAGGCAUCCUGAUCUGUGGAUAAAUAUGAGAAGUGCGUGAUGUGUUCUAAAUUUAAACUUUGUGAUUUUAGAAUAGUCAGUCUGGAAGCAUCCAUAUUUACUGCCGUUAAAAUAGUAUUGACAUGUUUGAAAAUACUUCCAUGUACAAGAUUCUAGUUUCAUAGUUGUCGUUCAUAGCAUAUUCGAAAUGGAAGAGAAUGAUGGUCAAAGUUCAAUUGUAACGACCUUGAAAAAUCAAUCCAUUAAUAGCUUAUUGUUGACCUAAAAUUGCCCCCAAAAGCUUAAACUCUAUAAUUAACCUAAAAAGACAUUUUAUAUAGACAAUUUUUAAGUUUGAUGACGAGAUUAGAGAACAACUCACUAAAGUUAAUCACUACUUAUUCCGCAACACGGGCGUGCUAACACGUGCUUAGGACCCUUCCAUUCUUUAUUUGGGCUUGUAUAGGAUGUUGUUUAUUGGUCGAGUCGUUUGGACCGGCCACAAGCCCUAUGAGCUUAAAAACGAAACAGAGGUGAGAAAGCAACCCCUAAUCAUUGUUUAGCGUCAAGAGGGCACUAAUAAAAUGACCAAAAGAGGUGGAGCAAAAGGACAGUAUCAACUGCGCAUAAACAAAACGGAAAACGUGUGGCGCGCGAGAUCGAAUUACCCCGCAAUAAUCAAUCUCAAAAUUAGUUCGAUCGAUCUUCUUCUCCUCGUCAUCAGGUCAUCACCGGCCUAACAAAAGCGUCAGCUACUGGAGCGAAUUAGCCCGUGCAUGCACCAAGGAUCCUCUCUCUCCGUGCGCGUGCGUGCGUGCGUGCACGUACGCGCCAUUGGUUUGCUAGCUGAACCGCGCUGACGGACGAUGUGGCGUGCCGGAUUGACGCCUGCAGAGCGCGCGGCUGAUGAGGUAAUGCGAGUGAGAAGAAGACGCGACGCGAUUCGGUUUCAAGCCCCCGUGCAGCUGGGGCGCAUGCAUGCACACAGGUUGGCAGGUGGUGCCCGGCUGCCGCCGCUCGCGCCCGCCUGCCUUGCCCGAAAGCAACAGGGGGGGUACGGCGGCUUAGCGGGGGGACGGAUCGAUCAAACGCGUUUGACGAGAGAGCCCGUACGUACGUGGCGCGGCGCGACCCAGCCUGGCUGGAUCGACACAGCGCCGCGCUAGCCCCGUCGUCUCGUCGCUGGCUACGAUCGAUCAUCAAUGCAGUCGCCUCUCGGUGAUGAGCGGAGUGGGGACACGGACGACCGAUCGAUCUAUCGAGGAGGAGGAGGUGGUGGGGCGAACGCGCGCAUCAGACGGGAUGAUCGUGUACUGCUACCGUUUGGCUGUUGGGCGGGCGGCGUGCGUAAAUCUUUCACCUGCCGUUCGGUGGCGCGUGUAUCGAUCGGCGGAUGAUGGAGGGGAGGCAUGUCGCCGGAUCGGUGAUCCGGGGAUCGGAUCGGCUGGGGACCGUCCGAUCAGCGCAGGGAAAGGUUUGGUGGGUGGGCGCAGCGUUGGUGGGCGACCGAUGACUCGGUGGGGAAGCAAAGGAUGGAUGGACCAAGUCGCGUUGCGCGCGGAGGCAGCAUAUUCCGUGGCGCGCACUCGCCGUGUGCGCGCGCUCUCGGGGGCGCGCGCCCCAUGAUGAUAACGGGCAGGCAGGCAUCUGGAUUCCCCUGACUUGACUGGUGGUCUGGUGCCUACCAAGUUGGGCCAAACCACUCCUAGGCCUAGCUAGCCUACCUCCCCAUAUGCCGAUAUGCGUCCUCCUAGACCCCUAGUAGUACUGGCUGCUGCUGGGCAGGUCACAGGUUGUGUGACUGUGCUGUGCACAGUGGUACAGUGCACCGGUAAAAUCUGUUCCUGCAUGCCGCUUCUCUCUGACAGCUUCAACUCUUUCGUCAGGUAGGAACAGAACUUCCCUGCAAAAAGAAAAAAAAGGAUAGGAACAGAACUGGAGUACAGUAAUAGUACUAGUACUUCUAGUACUGCCACUUAAAAAUGCACGACAGUGAAAACACAUGAAUAGGAAGAAAAAGGUAAAAAUAAAAUAGCAUAUGCUCAUUAAAUUCCUACAUAAAUUAAAAUUGUUGUUUGUUUGACGAAUAGGAGAAACACAGGAAGUUAGAGUCAUAAAAAGAAGAAAACUUACGGUAUAACCUUAUGCUUACUUUUCCCUAAAAUAUUUAUAGAAUUAUCUAUUGAGAAAUCUAUUCCAUACGAAUUUUCAAAGGGAAAGGAUAGGAUCAAACCCUUUGUUUCACAGGCAUUUUUAGAAAAAAAUUCAAUAGGGUUAAAGUCCAAUACAUUCUUUGUGUUUUCCCUACAAAUAAAAAGGCUCUGAAUCGCUGCACAUUUCUUCUCCGCUGCACCAAUGCGCCGUGCAUUCCCGUAGAAAAACGGCCAAAAUAGAGACUAGAGAACAGUUCUUGUCCAAGUGUCCAACUUGUUUUCGCGCCACUUGACGAAGAGCGUGACAGGUUACAGCAAGUACCUAUAUGCUGCUUCCCCUGAUGAAUAUAUGCAUGUACAGGGUUUUACUACUCAGAUUUUGUGCAUAGGUAAUUGCCAUCUGCAAGUUGGAGAUGGCCACUAGCAAGCAGGUUGCCGGUGCAACUAGUGCAUGACGCAUCGGCUUUCUCCCUUAAUGGCGGUAACCACCAGGGCAAAUUGAGUUGCGAGUUGCAGCCUGCGUCACAUCAUGACAACGAAAUUUACAUGGCAAGUGGAGAUAUAUGCAGUAGUAAUGUAAACCGGCCUAUUAAUCUCCUGUUUUUUGUUAGGAGCAAAGAUUCGCAUGUGCAUACUUUGGUGGUUUUCUACAGAGAGUGAUAGCUGACGUCUUGAUGCAGUGCACCCAGAUUUCGGCUGAUGGGCCGUACGUGUUGUCAAUGUUGCUAUCGCAAUGAGGAAUUCAGGUUUUAUUGUUGAACUUUAUUGUUUGCAGUUAGGAAUUCAGUUUUUGUUAUAGAUGGGCUUACGUAUCACCUGGUCCUUCUAUGCUUUAUGGGUUUCUUGCUGUUAUAGUAAGAAGGAAUAAGUUCAACUUAGAUCCCUCAAUUUGUAAUUGAAUCUAAAUUUCUUACGUGAACCGCAAUACCAGGUAUAACACGUCCCUCAACAGCCAAAACCAGUGUAAAUAAGAUCCUGAGAUAGUUUGGACGGUGGUUUCGGCUGAUGUGGCACCUACGUGACAUAUAGACGUUGUACUUAAAGUCAGAAAAAAUAGAAUAGUAGGACCUACGUGCUAGUGAGUGUCCAGUGAAAAAUAAAAAAUAAUAAUGGGACCCACAUCAUCAACCCCCUCUUUCCCCUCCUCUCUCCCUUUCCUCAUGGUCAUCAGCGCAUGUAGAGAUGGCGCCCUCGCCGCCGCUGUCUGCUUCCUCCUCGUGGCCCCAGUCCCGUUGCGCCAUCCCGCCGACUUCCAGCUGCAGACGGUGGUGCUGUCGUCGUGGUCGAUGUCAUCGACUGCAAGGCUGCCACUCAACCGCUUCUUCCCAAGCCGUUGGUAGAAGCCGAUGCGGCGAAACACUGGUCUCGUGGAGGUAGCACCAAGGCUCAACAACAGCUCAAGCUCUAGCUCACGGACAACAGAGAUGGAGCCCAGGGAAGGGUGGCGGAGAUGGGGCUUGGGGACGGCUACCGAAUCGGAGCAGCGGCCUGCUUCUUGUCGAGGACGCACCUGCGAGGGUGAGGCAGCGGUCGUUGAAGAAACGUGCCUCGGACGGAGGAGGAAGGAGGAGGGAUGAGAUGAAUUCGGACUCCUCGGCUAUUUGGCUCGGCUUGAUCCCGAUGAACGGUGAGGAUGAGUGGGUGGGUGAGAUAGCCGAAGAAGCGGAGGCCGUGGCAGUGGCGGCAGGGUGGCCGACAGCAAUGGCAGCGGAUGAGGACGAGGUGUAGCCGAUGACUAGGCUACACGCCGCAAACUGCCUGGAAGCUAUGCACCCACCCACCAUGAUGAGCAGCCACAUCGAAUGUUGUGACUAGAAGCCAUGUCGGUCGCCACGCGCCUCACCGCUGUUGUGUUGUGUUGUGCGCCUCACACGCUGGCCGCAGUGCUGGCCUUAGUCAUGGCAGCAGCGUUGCGCGCAACCGGACCGUGCCUUAACUGCUACGCCGCGUCGCCGCAUUAGCCGUAGCUCCGACAGGCGUGCCACACAAGGGGAAAAUUUUGUGUCAUUUUUUGGUACCACCUUUUUAUUUCUAUACUAUGUAUUGAAUUUUCUUGAAGAAAUGGUCCGGAUGGAGAGGGGAAAGAGAGAGACGAGGGAUGACGUGGGUCCCAUUGUAAUUUUUUUUUAAUUUUGAACUGAACACUCACUAGCAUGUGGGUUUAAUGUUUUUCCUAACUUUAAGUGCCACGUCACCAGAAAUAGUCAUCUAAACCGUCUCGGGACCUUAUUUGUACUGGUUUUAAGAGUUGAGAGACUUGUCAUAUCUAGUAUUGUGGUUCAGGGAUAAAAUUCAAACAGUGACAAAUUAUGAGGCCUAAAGUGAACUUAUUCCCAAUAACAACUCUGAAGUCUUUUUAGUCAUGUUAUUCAUGACUUGUUGGGGGUGUGCUUGCGUUUUUGAACUUUUUUUUACUAGAAAAAAUGUUCGUGCGUUGUAACGGGUGAAUGUUAUUUUAAUCUUAUUAUUAUUAUACGGUUUAGCUAAGAUGAAAUUCGCUUGGAUAUUUUUUUUAGAAAAUCAUGAACUACAAUUAAGAGUACGACUUUCAUCUCAAGUUAGCAUGCGAGUUUUUUUAAAGAUAUUUCUUAUAUGACUCCUUUUAUAUUUCCAAAAGCAAACGAACUUAAAAUCCGACUCAAACACGGAUAUGUAUUUCUAAAAGUGAACAAACUUAAAAAACUAAUCAAAUACGGAUGAUAUACCAAAAUACCAGCUAAAACAUUUGCAGUUUUUAUAAUAGUAGAGAAAGAGAAGGGAUAGAGAUAGAGAUAAUUGGUUCUAGCUUUUUAAACAAAGGCCAAGAUUCUAUUCCAUUAUUAAAAAAAAGAGUAAGAACUCUGAAGUAGCUACUGGAGGUGAAAUAUCGAAGCACAUCGACCAUGGUCAGUUCGGCCCAUAGACUAUGCACGGUCACGCACCCUGUCCGACUCGAAUUUCGUGUGCUGCGGAGUCCAAUUCCGUACAGGAGAAACACUUCUGACUUCUAGUUCUCCCGCGCUAUAUGUUCAGGCGAACCACUGCGUUCUCGCAUCGUCUCGUUACGAGCUAUCACUGCUGGAGAAACCAUCUUUCGUCGGUCGGCCGAUUUCCACAAUAGUUCCGGAUGCAAUAAAAACCGGGGCUAAAGAUGAUCUUUAGUCCCGGUUCAAAAGGUUAACGGGCAUAUUUGAUCUUUAGUCCCGGUUUGUGUUACCAACCGGGACUAAAGAUCAUCUUUAGUCCCGGUUCGAAUGCUGUCAGGACCUGUCAGGCCCCCCCGGGAUCUUUAGUGAUCUUUAGCCCCGGUUGGUGCUACCAACCGAGACUAAAGAUCUUAACUUUAGUCCCGGUUGGUAGCACCAACCGGGACUAAAGUCCCACCCCUAUAUAUAUGUCUUCUUCCUCCUCCAGCUGCCCGAGCAAGCUUCAAAAUUUCUUCAAAAAAGAGGGGAGGUCAUGCCAAAAUUUCUAUUGAAUUUAUUUUGGUGAUUACUUACAAAUCGGAGGUGCCUAAAAGGUUUGCAACUUCAUCCUCCAAUGUUUUUUUUUUGUCAUACUACAUUUGCACCUAUGUUUUGCACACUUUUUUUGUCUCCAAAAUUUAGUUGUAAGUUGAUGAGAGAGAAAAUGUGUGUGGGGAAGAAAGAAUAUAUAGAAAUUUAGUUCAUUUGCUAAACAAGGUUUUAUAAAAUAGUUGAGAAGGAAAACUCUAGUGAAAGUUAAUAUUAAAUAAUAGAAAACAAACUAAAAUAAAAAUUAAAAGAAGUAAAACACAUUAAAAUUAGUUUAAAACUUUACAAAUAGUUUUUAAGAAUUAUUUGGUGUAAUAUUUUAUAAUUUUUGUAUGAAUAAAGAUAUCUUAUAAUUAUUGUAUGACUGUCAUUAUUGUAAGAAUAAUUAUUUGUGUGCGGUUUUUUUGACUCAUGUAGAUGGAUCGGUAAUGGAUGUACGCUGACCGGCGGUCCAAAGAGUUUAUUGACGGCGUGCACUAUUUUUUGAGAGUGGCCGAAGCUAACAGGCAAAGGGGUUUUAUUUGUUGUCCAUGCAAUAAGUGUAAGAAUCAGAAGGAGUAUUCUGCAUCCAGGACUAUUCAUUUUCACUUGUUUGAGUCGGGGUUCAUGCCAAGCUAUAAUUGUUGGAUAUCCCACGGAGAGCAAGGUGUUGAAAUGGAAGAAGAUGAAGUGGAAGACGACAAUAUUCCGGACUUUGCUCAGUAUGUUGGAUUUGAAGGAAAUCAAACGGGCGAGGAGGAAAUAGCUGCUGAUGGUAACGACGUUGCGGAUGAUCUUGGUCAGAUGUUGCAGGACGCCAGGGAAGACUGCGAAAGUGAAAAGGAGGCCCAUAAAUUGGACAAGAUGUUGGAGGAUCACAGAACUUCGUUGUACCCAGGUUGUGAGCAGGGGCACAAAAAGUUGGAUACCACUCUGGAGUUGUUGCAAUGGAAGGCAAAAAAUGGGGUUAGUGACAAAGCAUUUGGCGAUUUAUUGAAACUCGUCAAGAACAUUCUUCCGGGGGGAAACAAAUUGCCCGAGACAACGUACGAGGCUAAGAAGAUAGUCUGCCCGUUAGGACUGGAAGUUCAUAAGAUUCACGCAUGUCCGAACGAUUGUAUCCUAUAUCGCGGUGAGGAGUAUGAGAACCUAGAAGCAUGCCCUGUUUGCAAAGCACUACGAUACAAGAUUAGACGGGACGAUCCAGGAGAAGUUGACGGGCAGCUAACAAAGAAGAGAAUUCCUGCUAAGGUGAUGUGGUAUUUCCCUAUAAUACCACGGCUAAGGCGUUUGUUCAGGAACAAGGGGAAUGCUAGAAUGUUGCGAUGGCACGCUGAAGAGCGUCAACAGGACGGGAUGCUGAGACACCCCGCCGAUGGUUCGCAGUGGCGAAACAUCGACAGAAAAUUUAAAGAAUUUGGAAAGGACGCACGAAACAUGCGGUUUGGUUUGAGUACGGAUGGCAUGAAUCCUUUUGGAGAGAUGAGCAGCGGCCAUAGCACUUGGCCCGUGACGAUGUGUAUCUACAACCUCCCCCCUGGCUAUGCAUGAAGAGGAAGUACAUAAUGAUGCCGAUUAUUAUUCAAGGCCCCAAGCAACCUGGUAACGACAUCGACGUGUACCUAAGACCACUGGUCGAAGAUCUUAAACAGUUGUGGAAGAAGGAAGGUGUCCCCAUGUGGGACGAGGACAAACAGGAGGAGUUUAACCUACGAGCGCUGCUGUUCGUAGCCAUCAACGAUUGGCCUGCACUUAGCAACCUAUCCGGACAGUCCAACAAGGGGUACAAGGCUUGCACUCACUGUAUGGAUGAAACAGAAAGUACGUAUCUUAAGCACUGUAGGAAGGUUGUAUACAUGGGUCAUCGUCGAUUCCUUGCAGCAAACCACCCGGUACGGAAGAAAGGCAAGCACUUCGAACAUAAGGCCGACCACCGUACGAAGCCUAAACAUCGCAGCGGGAAAACAGUGUUUGCUAUGGUUAAAGAUCUUAAAGUAGUGUUCGGAAAGGGGCCUGGAAGCCAGCAUAUAGAGAGCGAAGAUGGUCACGCGGCGAUGUGGAAAAAGAACUCUAUAUUUUGGGAGUUACCAUAUUGGGAAUUCUUGGACGUACGCCACGCAAUCGACGUGAUGCACCUCACUAAGAACCUUUGCGUAAACCUUCUUGGCUUCCUAGGUGUAUACGGAAAGUCGAAAGAUACACUGGAAGCACGUAAUGAUCUGAAGCGUAUGGAACAACGCGGCGACCUUCACCUGGAACCAAAGGAGAAAGGAAGCCAUUACUUGAGUCCAGCCAGCUACACUCUUAGCAAGGCAGAGAAGGAAAGUAUGUUUGAAUGCUUGGAGAGCAUAAAGGUACCGUCUGGAUACUCCACGAAUAUCAAGCGAAUAAUAAGCACGAAGGAGAAGAAGUUCACAAACCUAAAGUCUCAUGACUGUCACGUGUUGAUGACACAACUGCUACCAGUUGUAAUAAGGGGAAUCCUUCUAGACAAUGUCCGGGCAACAAUAACAAAGCUAUGUGCAUUCAUGAACGCAAUUUCGCAGAAGGUCAUCGAUCCGGAUAGAUUAGAAGCCCUUCAGAAUGAAGUGGUGCAAUGUCUCGUCAGUUUUGAGUUGAUAUUUCCACCUUCAUUUUUCAAUAUAAUGACGCAUCUGCUUUGUCACCUUGUGAAAGAGAUCCGUAUUCUCGGGCCUAUGUACCUACACAACAUGUUUCCUUUCGAGAGGUACAUGGGCGUUCUGAAGAAGUAUGUUCGUAACCGUGCUCGUCCAGAGGCAAGCAUCGCCAAGGGUUAUGGAACAGAGGAGGUCAUCGAAUUUUGCGUAGAAUUUAUCGAAGACCUUCGCCCAAUCGGGGUACCUGAAUCACGCCAUGAAGGGAGACUACGGAGAAAGGGAACUCUCGGAAGGAAAGCAAUAACGACGGUAGACAACAAUUUAUUCCGUAAAGCCCAUUUCACUGUUCUGCAACACUCUUCAUUGGUAGCUCCUUACAUCGAGGAGCACUUGGCUCUAGUUCGCGCCAGGAACAUCGGUAAGUCCGAUGCAUGGAUUACACGGCAUCACAUUGAUACUUUCCCCGCGUGGCUACGACAACAUCUCAUGGGUAACGAGUCGAUCAACCAACAACUUGCCUUCCUGGCGAGGGGACCGUCUGGGUCGAUCGCGACAUUCCAGGGAUAUGAGAUCAAUGGGUACACAUUCUACACGAGAGACCAAGACAUGAAGAGCACGAACCAAAACAACGCUGUUCGUGUCGAUGCCAUGGGACACGAUGGAACAACUGCCACGUAUUACGGUGCCAUCGAGGACAUAUGGGAACUUGACUAUGGUCCUCUCAAGGUUCCUCUGUUCCGGUGCCAAUGGGUUAGGUUGACUGGUGGAGGCGUAAUGAUUGAUGACAGUGGGAUGACAACUGUUGACCUUAACAAGGUUGGAUACUCGGACGAACCUUUUGUCCUUGCCAAUGAUGUAACGCAAGUCUUUUUCGUGAAGGACAUGUCUAGCAAAGGAAAGAAGGGCAGAGGGCCUGAUGAGCCUAAGCGUCAAGUGGUUCUCCCAGGCAAAAGAAAAAUCGUCGGAGUUGAGGACAAGACUGACGAGGAUUACGAUCAGUUGGAUGGGCAACCCCCUUUCACGGUGACGAUUGACCCUAGCAUCCUCCUAUCAAAUGAAGACACCCCUUACUCACGCAGCGAUCACAAGGAGGGAACAAUAGUGAGGAGAAAGUACGUGCCGUAAUUAUUGUGUACACGAUGUAAACUAUUUUGGAUGUAUUGAUUAUCCAUAUAAAUCAAUUGAUGUAUGGCAUAUGUUAAUUACGCACGAUUAUUAGAGGUUUCAACAAGUUUAAAUCAUGUAUAUGCUAGUUAUAUGUGAUACUUACAAUUUUUAAAAGUUUUAAAUCACACAGGUGGCAAUUUCAUAUGUAUGUUAAUUAGAGUUUUUAACAUUUAAUUUACUAGCAUUCAUAUGCUAAUUAUAAUUGACUAGAGGAUUUUUAAAAGUUUUAAAUCACGCAAGUGGCAAUUUCAUAUGUUAAUUAGAGUUUUUAACAUUUAAUUUACUAUCAUUCAUAUGCUAAUUAUAAUUGACUGGAGAAUUUUUAAAAGUAUUAAAUUUAAUAUAUUUUUAAAACUAUCAUUCAUAUAUUAGAGUUUUUCACAAUUUAAUUUACUAUCUUUCAUAUGCUACUUAUAUAUGACUAUUCGAAUUUUUAAAAGGUUUAAAUCAUGCAUGUGGCAUUUACAUAUGUUAAUUAGAGUUUUUAGCAUUUAAUUUAAUAUAAUUCCUACGCUAAGUACAUAUGAUGAUUACAAUUUUUAUUAAUUUUAAAUCAUGCAGUAUGUACAUUAAUAUCUUAAUUAGAGUUUUUACCAAUAUAAUAAUAUCAUUCAUAUAUAUGCUAAGAAUAUAUAUAUAUUGGAAUUUUUAUUAAUUAUAAGUCAUAUAUUUGCUUAUUACGAUUUAUCCACUUAAUUUAUUACAGACAAAAAUAAUUUUUCGAAGUAAUUGUCAUCAAUCUUUGUACUUUAAAUAAUGUUAAUGCAUUAACUUCUAUUUUAUAAACACAUAUGUAAGCGAAAAUCAUAUGCAGUGCUAUAAUCUUUAGUCCCGGUUCUUAACCCUAACCGGGUUUAAAAAGAAUUUCGAAAUAGCGGGAAAAGAUAUUUACUCCCGGUUGUUGAGAACAACCGGGAGUAAAGAUCCAGGGGUAUAUAUAUUCCCGGUGCGCCAUCGUCUUCUUCACCAACACUUAAAUGUUUUCGGCCGAUCGAUCUCUCUCGGCCUCUCUCCUUCGCCGCCACUGCCUAGGGCAAAUCCCCGCGCCGACGCCGCCGUAUCUCGCCGUCGUCUCGAGCUCGUCGUCCUCGCCGCCGCCUCCGCCUCCUCCGCUGCCGCCGCAUCUCUGGGGUGAGAGCCGCCGCAUCUCCCUUCAUGCAUCUCGAUCUCUCCGAUCUCGAUCUCUCUCCGUCGCCUUCGACGCCGCCGCCUUCGACGCCGCGCAACGCCGCCGCCGCAUGCCAACGCCACGCCGCCGCCGCCGUCGCCACGCCGCCGCCGCCUUCGCCGCCGCGCGCGCAAUGCCGCCGCCGCCACGCCACGCCACGCCACCGCCGCCAC